AUUGAACGCUGGCGGCAGGCCUAACACAUGCAAGUCGAGCGGUAGAGAGGUGCUUGCAUCUCUUGAGAGCGGCGGACGGGUGAGUAAUGCCUAGGAAUCUGCCUGGUGGUGGGGGAUAACGUUUCGAAAGGAACGCUAAUACCGCAUACGUCCUACGGGAGAAAGCGGGGGAUCUUCGGACCUCGCGCCAUUAGAUGAGCCUAGGUCGGAUUAGCUAGUUGGUGAGGUAAUGGCUCACCAAGGCGACGAUCCGUAACUGGUCUGAGAGGAUGAUCAGUCACACUGGAACUGAGACACGGUCCAGACUCCUACGGGAGGCAGCAGUGGGGAAUAUUGGACAAUGGGCGAAAGCCUGAUCCAGCCAUGCCGCGUGUGUGAAGAAGGUCUUCGGAUUGUAAAGCACUUUCAGCGAGGAGGAAGAGUUGUGUGUUAAUAGUACACAGCUUUGACGUUACUCGCAGAAGAAGCACC
rnacentral:rRNA from 1 species